GAAGUGAUGAAUGACACAUAUUGAUAUAAAGGUACAUACUACUGAUACUAGAGAUAAAUAUUGCAUAUUGAUCAGCAAUUUACCAUAAUACAUUGAAAAAAGAGCAAAUGACAAGUAAAAGUUACUUGCUAAUGCAACAAAUUAGAGCUCAGCUUGUGACUUUUUCUGCUCAACAUCUUCCGGCUUUUUUUGCUCAACAACUUCUGGCUUUUUCUGAUCUGCAUCUUCUGGCUUAACAACAGGAAAAUGUUUCUCUGUCCAAGCCAAAUAACCUCCUCCCAUGUUGCUCAAAUGCUUGUAUCCCUGUCAUUUCAGUUUCAAGCUUCUAAGAAUUUGGGCAAAAAAGAAACAACAUAUAUAAACAUGGUAAAGCAUUCAACCAGUUCUGUAAGAUUCUAACUUCUGGUCAAGAACUUCAAAUUUAUAAAAUUUUACAUUUGAAUCCAUAUACUUACAACAUUCUGAAGAUCAGCAACUGCAUAUAGGGAUCUAACCCCACUUUGACAACCCUGUUAAAAAUGAUAUCAAAGCAACAGAUCAUCAGAUAGAGCUUUGCUGCAAAGACUAGUUCGAUCCCAUGAAAAUAGAAAGUACGCACAACUUACCACAAUAAUAUGAUCUUCUUUGUUGCAAGUAGAUUCAACCUCUUUCAAGAAAUCGGGAUUUUUCACUCUACCUGAAAGCGAAAAUCGCUUGAAACUUCAUAAUUUCAAGGUACAAACAACUUAUAUGAUUACUUGAAGAGAAGGAUAGAGAUCAUAGCUACCCUCAGGUAUGUUGAACAUGUAAGGAAUAUUGUAAAUCUUCUCUGCAUCCACAUAUCCUCUCUUAAACUCCUCCACGGUCCUAUCACAAAUAGUGUGAAUUCAAUCAAAACCAUUUUCAUUCCAAGCUCAAUUUGAAGACUAAGCUUCCAAAUAGUUCAUUAAUCCAAGUAAAAGAGCCCUUUGGCCUUUACCUAACAUCCAUAUAGCCAUAGCCAGACUUGAUCAGAUCCUUAGCUUCUUGAACAUCAAUAGUCACAACCUCUGCUCCAGAACUACAAAAUAACACAAGCAAUAGAGCAACAAAUCCACAAGGGACUCCAAACCAAUAAGCCUUCAUCUAAAAAUAUCCAACAACUUUUAAAAUUUGACUGAGAAAAAGUCACCUUCCAAUAGAACCCAUGAAGAAGAAAUGGCCUUUUAUAUGUGAACUUGGUUUCUAGAAUCUGGUGGCUGUUUGCUUUGGUUUUCCUGAACAAACCAGCUGAGGAUAGAAAAUGUGGGCUGGGGAUUCUUACUGCUAAGUUUAUGGUGGGUCUUUUUCUAUGGGGGAAGAGUGACUUGUGGAUAACUAAACUACGUGCAUUUCCAGCCAUCUGGGGUCAGAUGACUUCAUGCCAAUAAUAGGUGAGAGCCCACCUUUGAUGUGAAACAGAACCAAUCUUUAUAAAAAUUAAAAUUAUACUGCUCUAAUCAGAAUUGUUAAUUUGUUUAUUGCUAGUGAAAAGAACACUAAUUUGAUAAUGGCCUCACUGGAUUCCUAUGGAUUCUAGGUGGUUUGGGAUUUAAGGCAUCUACAAUGCACUACCAGUACCUUGGAGUGUCCACAUUCAGUGUGAAUAAAAGUGAAGGAAUUGUGCACUUAUGCACACUAAUAAUCCAUAAUUCAUUUACAUUUGAAAAAGAAUUGCAAAUUUUCAAUGGUACGUGAGUUCUUGUGACUGAAAAGUGAAUUGUCAUUUCAAAUUUAAUAGUACAGCUUAAUAAGAAUCCACUUGUAAUCUAAUUUAGUGAACUUUGCGACAAUCUCUAUCUCAAAUAAGACUCCUAAAUAACGAUAUCAGUAACUUUGAAUGGUUUGUUAAGAUGAUUUUGUAUAUUUUAGUUUAUUGAACUGAAUUGUCAACCAAGAUGCUUUAGCAUUAUUGCAUCCAUACCAAAAUUCAAUUGCCACAUAAUUCAGUAAAAAAUCUAAGUCCCAAAUAGUGUGUAUACCCUAAUCAUCCACUGCAAAUAUCUAGUACAAUCAUCGAUCUCUUACCUCAUUGAGCAUAUCCCAUAGCUUUUUGAAAUGCCAAUCAAACCCCGAGUGUGCAUAGGAACUCCAUAUUUGGGUUGAUACAUCGACCAUAUCUGCCACACCAAAUUGUUUAUUGGUCGUUGUCUUCUCCCACUCAAUGCAGCAACUAAACUCAUAUUAGGCAGAGAUUUCUUUCCCGCAAUUAUAUAAUGAAUGAUCCAAAAUGAGGAUCUAAGAGAAACAAAUUAUGAUGAAGAACAACAGGAGUAGAUUGAGAAGUCUGUAAAAGAUGGAAUUGUAAAAGGAGGAUUAUGAAUUGAAUUUAGGAAAAGCGAAGAAGAAAUAUGAAUAGAGAAUUGUUAAUUAAUGAGAAAUUAGGUAGUAUAUGGUAAUAUGUACAGCAGUAAAGUCAUUUUCCUCUCUUUUGGUUAGGAGAGGAAGGAUGGAUUCGUUAUUUGCUAACACUGAGAAUAUACCAUCAGGGGCAUCAGGCAUCAGAUCAAUAGCUACUUUUUUUUUCUUUUUCUUUUCUUUCUUUUUUGUUUUGUUUUAAGAUCAAUAGCUGAGUUGAGGAUUUGGUGCAUCCCCAUCUGGAUUUUUAUUGCUACUGCAUGACUAGACAUUUCACAUUUUUAUUUGGAGUUGUUUGUUAGUGCUUCACUUUUGGCCAUUGUGCAACACCACAACCAAAUCCACUCAUCCACCUCUUGAUUGGGUCCUGGUGUUUUCUUUCAUCUAAUGCUGAAAUUAUUGCUGAAACAAAACCCUUGGAUAAUAUGAUUUAUACCAAAGCUGAAUAGACUGAUUUAUACCAAAGCUGAAUAGACUGAGUAUAUACAACAGUGCCAUACCUACCAGGAUUACAAGGUAAUCCAUGUACAUCAAGAGAGCUAUUAGCCAUGACAAGAGCAUUCUGCUCUAGUAUACUCACUAAUAUACAACACCUCCUGGGAUUCAAACAUUCCAGGUCAUAAACUGUCCUAAUGCACUAAUUUUGUUUUUGUUGGACUGACAGGGUAACCUUUAUAUCCAAGUCACACAGAAGCAGUUUGGAGUUACAUAGAAGCAGUUUUGACACACUUAGCCCGCACGAAUGAUUACUGACAUCUUUACAACAACGUAGAGAGGUUAUGAUCCAGAAUCUCUUCAGUUCACACAAUAAU
rnacentral:lncRNA from 1 species